rnacentral:rRNA from 1 species
UACGUAGGGUGCAAGCGUUGUCCGGAAUUAUUGGGCGUAAAGAGCUCGUAGGCGGUCUGUCGCGUCUGCUGUGAAACUCAGGGCUUAACCCUGAGCUUGCAGUGGGUACGGGCAGACUAGAGUGCGGUAGGGGAGACUGGAAUUCCUGGUGUAGCGGUGAAAUGCGCAGAUAUCAGGAGGAACAUCGGUGGCGAAGGCGGGUCUCUGGGCCGUAACUGACGCUGAGGAGCGAAAGCAUGGGGAGCGAACAGG